rnacentral:rRNA from 1 species
UACGUAGGGUGCAAGCGUUUAUCCGGAAUUAUUGGGCGUAAAGAGCUCGUAGGCGGUUUGUCGCGUCUGCUGUGAAAACUGGAGGCUCAACCUCCAGCCUGCAGUGGGUACGGGCAGACUAGAGUGCGGUAGGGGAGAUUGGAAUUCCUGGUGUAGCGGUGGAAUGCGCAGAUAUCAGGAGGAACACCGAUGGCGAAGGCAGAUCUCUGGGCCGUAACUGACGCUGAGGAGCGAAAAGCAUGGGGAGCGAACAGG